GCCGUUGGGGGCGGGUCUGCCCGCUGCUCGCGGGCGCUUUGCCAACGCUCCCCAGGUGGGCGUCGCCUUGGCCUUCCCCACCUUUGUACUUUUGCACAUCAGAAGAUUAGGAGAAGGGAUUCUGCAUGCAAAUAGAAUUAACAGGAGGUCUGAUGAGGGGAUCUGCUGUGUCAGUGAUGUUAUAGACUCUCCGACCCAAGACAUUCCAUCUGCUCUUGCUCCUGCUAUUCCCAAGAAGACUGUGGACUUAUUUGAGAUGAUUGAAAAAAUGCAGGGGAGCCGUCUGGAUGAACAAAGAUGUUCCCUACCAACUCCUCUCAAGGUCAGGCGAGGUCAUUGUUGCCGCCUAAGUUACUGAGAAUGGCAGAUAAUUAUUGACGUGCCUUGCCCUGUGUUUUCUUCUUGGAGUAAGCAGGGCGCCUACAAACAGCUCAAGAACACAUACAUAUGUAUAUAUGUAUUUUUUUCUUAAACUAUGGGAGAUGCUACACAAGAGCCUGAAACAAAUAGCUGAAAUAGAGUGAGAACUUCCCCUUUUCGAAUUUAAGUGGUUCCAAUAAGUCUAUUUAGUAUUAUUAACAAUCUUAGUUUUGAAUAAAUAUUUUCUUAAAUUUUUUUCGAUUUAAGAA
rnacentral:lncRNA from 1 species